UACGGGGGGGGGCAAGCGUUUGUUCGGAAUUACUGGGCGUAAAGGGCUCGUAGGCGGCCAACUAAGUCGGACGUGAAAUCCCUCAGCUUAACUGGGGAACUGCGUCCGAUACUGGAUGGCUUGGAUUCGGGAGAGGGAUGCGGAAUUCCAGGUGUAGCGGUGAAAUGCGUAGAUAUCUGGAGGAACACCGGUGGCGAAGGCGGCAUCCUGGACCGGUAUUGACGCUGAGGCGCGAAAGCCAGGGGGAGCAAACGGGG
rnacentral:rRNA from 1 species